rnacentral:lncRNA from 1 species
GCCAACAAAUCUUAAUAAUGUUAACCUCCCCCAUAUACAUAACAUACCCCUAGCAAUGACCCCACAAUAAUAACAAUAGAUAACAAUCUAAAUAACAGGUUAACACAGAAACUGGCCGCCCAAUUUGACCACAUUUGCACCAGGUUAAAUUGUAGGUGUGUACCGAGACACCGCUACCCACCAUAUCCAUUGUAGGGGUGUACCAAGACACCGCUACCCACCAUAUCCAUUGUAGGGGUGUACCAAGACACCGCUACCCACCAGUUCCAGUGUAGGGUGUACCAAGACACCACCACACCCCCAGGUUCGGAGCCACCGACGGGCUCGAACCUACCAACCACGUGCAACACUGCCCAAUCCACACUAAACCUCAGGAUGCCCACUUUCUCCUCCAUCUACCCUCCGAUUUAACCAGGCCAUUCCC